ACGAAGCGGCGGAGCAUGCGGAUUAAUUCGAUGCAACGCGAAGAACCUUACCAAGGCUUGACAUACACCCGGUAACGCCCAGAGAUGGGUGCCCCUUUGUGGUCGGUGUACAGGUGGUGCAUGGUUGUCGUCAGCUCGUGUCGUGAGAUGUUGGGUUAAGUCCCGCAACGAGCGCAACCCUCGUCCUAUGUUGCCAGCGGGUCAUGCCGGGGACUCAUGGGAGACUGCCGGGGUCAACUCGGAGGAAGUGGGGAUGACGUCAAAUCAUCAUGCCCCUUAUGUCUUGGGCUUCACGCAUGCUACAAUGGCCGGUACAAAGGGCUGCGAUACCGCGAGGUGGAGCGAAUCCCAGAAAGCCGGUCUCAGUUCGGAUUGGGUCUGCAACUCGACCCCAUGAAGUCGGAGUCGCUAGUAAUCGCAGAUCAGCAACGCCGCGGUGAAUACGUUCCCGGGCCUU
rnacentral:rRNA from 1 species